UGGCCUUCAACCUUGCUUGAACAAUAGCCGCACAUCACCACCUUUGGCCUCACCUUCCGUCGACGGUUUCAGCAGCAAGGGGGGGUGGGGGGUCGACGACUCCUUCUUCCCUCGGCAGUAGCGGCAAGCUAACUAGGACGGCAAGCCGGCAAGUUGUAGCUUUGGCAGAGUACGGCGGCGGGUCCGGCGGACGGUAGACGCAGGAGCUCCUCGGCAAGGUGGCAGUUCUGGCGACCCUAUCCUCCUUCUCUCGUUGACGACAGCGGCUCCAUCCUCCUCGGCUUUUCCGGCGACCUUGGCAGCAGCUUGGACUUUGAACAGAGCCCUCGGCGCUCCCUUUUUCCCUGGAGAAACAGAACAACGACGGCAGUGGAGGAUCCUUCCCUUCUCCGGCGGCAAUCGCAGUUCUCCUAGAAGAGGCAGGCAGCGGGCAGAACCGCUUGUGGUGGUGUUGCCGUGGUUCCACCCACGGCUUCGGGUUGCAUGAUGAAGAAGAUGAUGAGGAUUCCUUUUUUAUAGAUUAGCUUAUGAGUUGAGCCUAGCCUAAAACUGGUGUUGGUUUUGGAUUGCUAAGCUAAGGAGGUGUAAAGUAGUUGAGCCUCUUGUAGAUUGUUGGAAAGUGUUUUGUAAAGCCUGUGCAACUAGGUUGGGAACUUAGUUGUGGCAUAGCAUAUUAGCAUCCCUAAG